rnacentral:rRNA from 1 species
UACGGGGGGAGCAAGCGUUGUUCGGAUUUACUGGGCGUAAAGGGCGCGUAGGCAGUCAGCACAAGUCAGUUGUGAAAUCUCCGGGCUUAACUCGGAAAGGUCAACUGAUACUGUGCGACUAGAGUGCAGAAGGGGCAACUGGAAUUCUCGGUGUAGCGGUGAAAUGCGUAGAUAUCAGGAGGAACACCGAUGGCGAAGGCAGGUCUCUGGGCCACUACUGACGCUGAGAAGCGAAAGCAUGGGGAGCGAACAGG